rnacentral:rRNA from 2 species
UUGCCCUAGUAACGGCGAGUGAAGCGGCAACAGCUCAAAUUUGAAAUCUGGCUUCGGCCCGAGUUGUAAUUUGCAGAGGAAGCUUUAGGCGCGGCACCUUCUGAGUCCCCUGGAACGGGGCGCCAUAGAGGGUGAGAGCCCCGUAUAGUUGGAUGCCUAGCCUGUGUAAAGCUCCUUCGACGAGUCGAGUAGUUUGGGAAUGCUGCUCAAAAUGGGAGGUAAAUUUCUUCUAAAGCUAAAUACCGGCCAGAGACCGAUAGCGCACAAGUAGAGUGAUCGAAAGAUGAAAAGCACUUUGAAAAGAGGGUUAAAUAGCACGUGAAAUUGUUGAAAGGGAAGCGCUUGUGACCAGACUUGCGCCGGGCGGAUCAUCCGGUGUUCUCACCGGUGCACUCCGCCCGGCUCAGGCCAGCAUCGGUUCUCGCGGGGGGAUAAAGGUCUCGGGAACGUAGCUCCUCCGGGAGUGUUAUAGCCCGGGGCGUAAUGCCCUCGCGGGGACCGAGGUUCGCGCAUCUGCAAGGAUGCUGGCGUAAUGGUCAUCAGCGACCCGUCUUGAAACACGGACCAAGGAGUCAAGGUUUUGCGCGAGUGUUUGGGUGUAAAACCCGCACGCGUAAUGAAAGUGAACGUAGGUGAGAGCUUCGGCGCAUCAUCGACCGAUCCUGAUGUUUUCGGAUGGAUUUGAGUAGGAGCGUUAAGCCUUGGACCCGAAAGAUGGUGAACUAUGCUUGGAUAGGGUGAAGCCAGAGGAAACUCUGGUGGAGGCUCGCAGCGGUUCUGACGUGCAAAUCGAUCGUCAAAUCUGAGCAUGGGGGCGAAAGACUAAUCG